rnacentral:tRNA from 1 species
AUGAAUGGGCGGGCCUUGAUCCCACAAAAAAUUAAUUAACAGCUAAUUAC